rnacentral:tRNA from 1 species
GCAUAGCUCAGCUGGAUAGAGUACUCGGCUACGAACCGAGCGGUCGGAGGUUCGAAUCCUCCUGCG